rnacentral:rRNA from 1 species
UACGUAGGAGACGAGCGUUGUCCGGAGUUACUGGGCGUAAAGAGCGCGCAGGCGGCUGGGCAAGUCCGAUGUGAAAGCUUCCGGCUUAACUGGAAAAUUGCAUCGGAAACUGCUCGGCUUGAAGGUGGGAGAGGAUAGUGGAAUUCCCAGUGUAGUGGUGAAAUACGUAGAGAUUGGAAGAACACCAGUGGCGAAGGCGGCUAUCUGGACGGUUUCUGACGCUAAGACGCGAAAGCGUGGGGGAGCAAACAGGG